GAGUUUGAUCCUGGCUCAGAACGAACGCUGGCGGCGUGCCUAACACAUGCAAGUCGAACGUGAUCCAGAGCUUGCUCUGGUGAAAGUGGCGCACGGGUGAGUAACGCGUGGAUAACCUACCCUGGUAUCCGGGAUAACAUUCCGAAAGGGGUGCUAAUACCGGAUAAGCCCACGGGCUCUUUGGAGCUUGCGGGAAAAGGUGGCCUCUAUUUAUAAGCUACUGUAUCAGGAUGGGUCCGCGUACCAUUAGCUAGUUGGCGGUGUAACGGACCACCAAGGCGACGAUGGUUAGCUGGUCUGAGAGGAUGAUCAGCCACACUGGAACUGAGACACGGUCCAGACUCCUCCGGGAGGCAGCAGUGGGGAACUUUGCGCAAUGGGGGAAACCCUGACGCAGCAACGCCGCGUGAGUGAUGAAGGCCUUUGGGUCGUAAAGCUCUGUCAGAGGGGAAGAAAUGAUAUAGUGCUAAUACCACUUUAUCUUGACGGUACCCUCAAAGGAAGCACCGGCUAACUCCGUGCCAGCAGCCGCGGUAAUAC
rnacentral:rRNA from 1 species